CGACGGUCUGAAGGAAUCUGCUCCCACACGUUGCGACCACUUCUCCGAAGACAGCAAGAACUCGACUCGGCGAAAGAAACAAGACUGAGGACACGCCCACCCCGCGUAAAGGAGACACACACACGAUGUUUCCAGUUGUCUCCAAUUGAGGUGAUCAGAAUAGACCGGAUAGCUUUCCGGGCACUGGAGUUUUUCCAGCUUUGGAGGUGUGUAGGAGCGAAAGACUUAAGGCGAUGGGAGAAUGUGCGCAAGGCCAGAUUUGACAGGGAACGCCCAC